rnacentral:lncRNA from 1 species
UUGGGUGCUCAGAGCCCCCGGGACAAGAGUGCCUCAAAGGCUCCCGCAGAAGUGCCCGCCGUCUCCCAGCCGCUGCGACCCGCGCAGCUACAGCGGACGCCGACGCCUUGGGGCACACGCGGCUGCACGGGGUUGGCCAGCGCGAGGCGCAGCCGUCGGGACAGUGGUCCGCGGCGGCAGCCCCCUCCCGCCGCCCCGGGCUGUCGGUCUCCGAGUCGCGGCAGCGCGGCCUCGGGGCAGCUGCGCGCAGCCGGACUCGGCCGUCAGCGCCUCCGCCCGACCCUUCCCCUCCGGCCCAGGCCGCCCCUCGCCGGCGGCCCCUCCGCGUGGCCGGACACUUGGCAACUUACUGGGGCAGUGCUAGGGCCGCGCCGAGGGGGCGGUGGUGGGCGAGCGGCUGGAGCGUGUCGGGGGCCGCAGCUCCGGGAGGCUGAAGGAGCUGCCGCCGCCUCGCUGGUCCGCGCGGAGAGGAGCGCCCGGGCCGCUGCGCUGCAGAAGGCGGGCUGGGCACGUGGGCGCCCCUGUGUAGCCGUGCGGGGGGCGGAGCGCGGGGCAGGGCGGUGCCGCCUCCUCCCUCCCCCGCGCCGGCCGCCCAGCGUCUGGACCGUCCCGAGCGCUCUGGCCAAUCCUCCGGGUAGGCGGGUAGGCGGCGUCCGGCCGCUGCGCCGCCGGGAGUCUCUGAUAAGGCUGAAGUCACAAUGUGAAACUGUUAAUUUUAAUCCGAAAGGAGGCAAAACAUUGGCCUGAAUUUAACAAAUCCGAUUAAAGAUUUGGGACUUCACUCCAAAAAAUGUUACAUGCACAAAACCUCGACUAUUUCCGGAGUUCAGCUACCUCCAUGAAGCCAUCAAUGGACCUCACUGAAGAGCUAGAAGUCUAAAUAGCACCGUGACUGCAAGGAUAUUUAUUAUCUGUUCUAGUAAAUGUCCUCAGUAAUAGAGUUUUUAUCAACAUAAACUUAGUUUCACAGUAUAAAACAGAUUCCUUGUGCAACUAAUCAUUAAUGAUAUAGAGGGAAAUGAUACAUGUUGAUCGUGACACCAAAUUUACUCAGUCCCAUAAGGGUUAGGAGGCAUUGCACCAAGGGGUGAAGGAGACUCAAGACUUGAGACUUUGUCUAAUUUCUAAGGGCAAGGGACCUCAUAUAAAAAUUUCCAUUUUUUUUUUUUUAAGAAACACAAAGUUGCUAUUUUAAAUUUAAGGAAUUAUUUCCCCAUAUAUUUGUCCUCAAGGGACAGUCUGUGAUGAGGUUGCACCACAGUGAUUUUGAGAUAAACUAAUCUAUCUGACAUUUAGAAACUGCCAAUUUAGUCAGAAUACCAAUCUUUGAGUUUAUC